AUUUCUGGUUGAUCCUGGCGGAGGAUGAACGCUGGCGGCGUGCCUAACACAUGCAAGUCGAACGGAGUGUUUAGAGCUUGCUUUGAACACUUAGUGGCGGACGGGUGAGUAAUGCGUGAGCAACCUGCCUUUCGGAGGGGGACAACAGUUGGAAACGACUGCUAAUACCGCAUAACGUAAUUUGGGGGCAUCCUCGGAUUACCAAAGGAGCAAUCCGCCGAAAGAUGGGCUCACGUCUGAUUAGCUGGUUGGUGGGGUAACGGCUCACCAAGGCUGCGAUCAGUAGCCGGACUGAGAGGUUGAACGGCCACAUUGGGACUGAGAUACGGCCCAGACUCCUACGGGAGGCAGCAGUGGGGAAUAUUGGGCAAUGGGCGAAAGCCUGACCCAGCAACGCCGCGUGAAGGAAGAAGGUCCUCGGAUUGUAAACUUCUUUUAUGAGGGACGAAGGACGUGACGGUACCUCAUGAAUAAGCCACGGCUAACUACGUGCCAGCAGCCGCGGUAAUACGUAGGUGGCAAGCGUUAUCCGGAUUUACUGGGUGUAAAGGGCGCGUAGGCGGGGAUGCAAGUCAGAUGUGAAAUCUAUGGGCUUAACUCAUAAACUGCAUUUGAAACUGUAUCUCUUGAGUGCUGGGAGAGGUA
rnacentral:rRNA from 1 species